AUAGCGAAACGUCAGAUGUCCUUUGAGUUCUGAAAAAAUGAGAUAUCUCGAUGAGUAUUCGUUCGAGCUUGAUUCGCUGGAGCAAAAUAACGUCACGAAAUAUUCGUACAUACAAUUCGCAGCAGAUCCAUUAUUUCACGACUUUUACACGUAAAAAGGCAGAACAACUGAAGACUACAGCUUCUAUCACAAAACGAAAUCUUGUUCUCGCAACGCUAACUAAUCAUCGUGGGAUAGGCGUUGCCGUUGGAGUUGCAGCAAAAAUAAUGUGUUAGAUUGGUGGUAAUUCCUACUUUACUCGGAACAUGAAAUUCAUUGAAGAAAUGCGUGCAAGCGGAAGUAGUUGAAGAGGUCAGCGUUUAACCUAAUUAUACCGAUUCUAAUUUUCGAUUCGAACAACGUAACUCGUGCAAAUUUUAGUGCACGAAAGGGUUUCUCGAGAAUUGCGUAUAACUGUUGUGUAACUACUGAUAUUGCAUUUCGCCGACGGAACGAAGUGGCAUUUGAGCGAUUAAUUUGUGAAGCUGAGUUGAGAAGAAUAUCCACUUGGAGGGAUUAUCGCGUAAUAUUCCAGGUAAUGUACAGGUUCUGCGAGGAGAUCGAGCCACACGUGCAAAUGGGGCAGGGGGGGUAUUUCAAAGCUUCACAGUUAGUGACAAACGGGCUUUUCCUUUUACGCGAAACUUUAUGAACGAAGAAAUGUCGGCGGCACUUUCUGCUGAAGCUUUUAGCCUGUAAAAACCUACUGAUACCGAAGAUGUCAAACUUCUUGCAAACACGAGAUCCCACGUAAGAAAACUGACGAAGGAUGGUUAUAUAUAUUAUAUACAACACCAACACUUUUGGAGAAA
rnacentral:lncRNA from 1 species